AAGGAUUUAAGUUAAACCCCCCCCCAAACUAUCAACCUUCAAAGUUGAAAAUAGAAGAUAUGCCUAAGCCUUA
rnacentral:tRNA from 1 species